rnacentral:rRNA from 1 species
UACGUAGGGGGCUAGCGUUGUCCGGAAUCAUUGGGCGUAAAGCGCGUGUAGGCGGCCCGGUAAGUCCGCUGUGAAAGUCGGGGGCUCAACCCUCGGAUGCCGGUGGAUACUGUCGGGCUAGAGUACGGAAGAGGCGAGUGGAGUUCCUGGUGUAGCGGUGAAAUGCGCAGAUAUCAGGAGGAACACCAAUUGCGAAGGCAGCUCGCUGGGACGUUACUGACGCUGAGACGCGAAAGCGUGGGGAGCAAACAGG